ensembl:lncRNA
CUCCAAAGUCCUGUUUGCUGUCUGCUCUAGAGUCACUGCUUCAGGAACCUAUAGGACUUUUCUCCCGCAUGAAGAUCUUCAGUAUGGUCAAUUCAGACCUCAGAUUUAUACAAGCAAAUCUUGGUGAGCACUUCCCUAUGGAACAGUGAGGUGCUACUUUUCGGAUUUGGCAAACCAAUCCCUACAUUGCACAUGGACUACACAAAUAUGCCAGCAGGACUCUCCCAGAUGAUGACUGUCUUAGUAGACAUAAGCUGGGGACAGACCAGAGAAGCGCUUCACGAGUGUCUUCCCUAUAACAAGGACACCUGGCCCUAGGGCAAACCCCUGAGCACUGGGCCACUCAACAGGAUAAAGAUUAACCCCAUGAAAGCUGCAUUGUAAAUCUGCACAACUAACUCUCUGGAGUCCAGUCAAGGGCAGAGCUUGAACUUAUAGCCAUUUUCAUGAAUGAUAUGCCAAGACUAAACCAGUGAGCAACACGUGUAAGAACAGAGCUGUAGGAAUCACAAUCCCUGACUUCAAAAUGUACUGCAGAGCUGCAGUAAUCAAGUGUAUCAUACUGGGAUAAAAACACACAUAUAGACUAAGGAAUCAGAAUAGAGACCCUGAAACCAGCUCAUGCAAACAGUCAAGUGUCUUCACAAAGUGUGGUAGAACACACGUGUGGACAUGAUUCAGUAACCACCAUUGCGAGGACCAUGCCUAUGUGGCUGAAGAGUGGGAUCAAGUCCUGCCUGACAUCGUAUACAGAAAGCAACACAAAAGGAAUUAAGAUUAAACACUGACCGUGAAACGAUCGAAGUUUUGGAAGAAAACAGGAAAUGCUUCUAGGCAUUAGACUAGAAAAUGAUAUUUUUGGAUAUAAUACUAAAACAAGCAAUAAGAGCAAAACACAGGAAGUAAUGUUUCUUCACAGCAAAGGAGACAACAAAAUGAAGACAUCUUAUGGAAUGGUUAAAAAUAUUUUCAUACCAUUUUAUCUGAUAAGAGUUUAAUAUGCAAAAUUUAUAAGACAUUCUUUUAAUUCAACAACAGAAUGAAUAACCCCCCAAAAAGAAAAGAGGACUUAAAUUGCCAUUUCUCCAAAGAAGACACACAAAAGGCCAUCAUGUACAUGCAAAGGUAUUCAGCAUCACUAAUCAUCUGGGAAAUACAAUUCAUAGUCACAGUAAGUCAUUACUUACACAUGCCAGGAUGAUGACUUAAAAAAAAAACACAGCAAGUGUUGGGGAGGACAUGGAGAGAAGGAAACUUAUCCUAUUGGCAGGAAUACAACUGGCAUAGUCACUAUGGAAAACACAACUGUCUCUGAAUGAAAGAUUAACAGUAAACAUUUCACCAGGCUAGAAAAGAGCUUUCCCACCUUGAAAAAUGUCAUCUAUAAAAAGUCUACAGCUACUGCAAUGCUUAAGGGAGAAAUAAUGGUGUCUCCUAAGACCAAGAAUGGCAUAGUUGGGUGCAUCUAGUUAACAAAAAUGUGUUGCUUAUGUUGUUUAUUUCAAAGUAGCUAAAAGAGAGGGUUUUGCAUGUGCUCAUUACAGAGAAGUUAUAAUAGCUGAAGGUGACAGCCAUGCUGAUUUUCCCGAUUUGAUCAUUACCUAAUAUACAGACAAAUCAAAAUAUCAUAUUGUACCUCAUACAUAUGCACAAUAAUUAUUUCAAUAAAAAUUUAAUUUAAAUAAAGAAAAAGAGAGGAUGUUAUGUAACCCCUUUUCAUAUAAUUUUUUUGGAAGUUACAGGCUACGUGCAAUAAGCCAAGAAAAAGAAAUAAAAGGCACAGAGGAGGAAUGAUUAAAACAUUUUUAUUGGAAAAAAUGUUUGAUCAUAUACACAGACAUUUUUAAAUCUUCAAAUUAACAGUUAUAGUAGCAGCUACUAGAACUAGUAAAUAAAUUUGUUAAGGUCACAAUACAUAUCUCCAAAAUAAAAAAAAAUGGAUAGUACUUCUAUAGACAAACAACAAUUUUUUAAAUAUUGUAAUAUGCUUUAUUUAUAACAUCCAAAGAAUGAAGUAAAUAAGUAUACAUUUAACAAAAUAUAUUCAACUCCAAGUGAAGAAGGCUAGAAGAAAUAAAGAUAGAAAGAAGACAAAGAAAAUUAUAAUUUUAAAAUCAUAUUUAAAACAACACUACACUUUACAGUUUUUUCUCCAGGCUAGUCAUUAUUAAAUUCCUAAGUCUUAAAAAAUAUUCAGGGGCUGUGCAUUUCUCCUUUCUCCUGUGCCUUCCAUCUGUGCAUGGGCCAUGGUCUGUUACCUGUCAACUGAGUCCCUGUUUUCUAUAAAUUCACAAAUUCCAUAGAUUUCUGUCCCCCAAACACAUAAAAUAUACCCAACUCCAGGGUAUAAGGUCUCCUGUCUGUCUGUCUCUCCCUCCCUCUCUCACUCCCUCCUUCCAUAUUCUAUUCUCUCUAAAGGGUGUACUUCAUUAUUUCUAUUAGACAUUUUUAUGCUUCUCACUGAUAUACCCUGGAAGUUCUCUUUGGAUGGUGACAGUUGGGGAGCCUAUAACUUAUUACAUGAGUUGGUGAGUUGAGGCCCCCAUUUUCUCUUUGGGGACUCUCGUUGGCUCCAUCUGGUAACCAGAAGCCAAAACCUAAAAUACAUUGGGAAAAGUAUAAACACCCAAAAAACAAGGAGAGAUAUAUCACAUUUGUUGAUUGAAAUAUUCAAAGUUGUUAUGAUAUUACUUAUUACCUAAUUGAGCUAUAGAUUUGUGACAAUCCUAACAUUAAUUCAAGAAGCUUUCUAGUAAAUAUUUACCUGCAAAGAGUCUUAACCAAAUCAUUCAAAAUAUUGAUAGACUAUCAGAUUUCAAAAUAUACGGUAAAGCCAUAGUAAACACAACAAUGUGGUAUUGAGAGUAGACACCUAGACCAACAGAAUCAAACAAAAACUCAAGAAAUAGACUCAUAAGUAUGCUCAGCUGAUUUUAAUAAUUAUCCAAUACAAUUUAACAGUAAAGGAAAGCUUUCUCAGUAACUGCUGAUUAAAUACGUGGAUAUCAAUAUUGGAAAAAUGGAAUAAACUUUUCAUGGUGUGUAAAAAAUUAACUUCAAAUAGACAUGAAAUGCUUGUAAAAGAAAAUGUAGGAGGAAAUUUUUUUGACUAUGGGAUAAGCAGAUAAACUAUAUAGAAGAAAAAAAUCGUAAGUAAUCAAAGAAAAAUAUUUAAUUAGGAUUUAUAAAAUUUGAAAUCUUAAGACUUUUGUUCUUUGAAUUUGUGUACAAGACAAAAACAGAAGAACCAGGUAAUGAAAAAAUAUAAACCCCACUGGUAUAUUACUAGGUAUUUAUCCAAAAUAAAUGAAACACAGAUACACACAAAUCUUCUACUUGCCUUUCCAGUUUCUUUAUUCUUUAUAGUCAAAAAAAUAGAAAACAAAUAUGCAACAAAAAGUGAAUACUAUAUAAAUCAGUAAACUAUUAUUUAUACAACACACGCCAUUCAGAUGGAAGGCACUCAGACUGAAUUCAGUGAUAAAACUGCAUAUCCUGCUUUUAAUA